rnacentral:rRNA from 1 species
UUUGAAUAGAAUUAAUAUAAUGAUGAUUAUUAAUUUGAAUAGUCCAGUCUCAUCUCCGUGCCAGCAGUCGCGGUAACACGGAAUCGGGCAACCCAUCGGAGUUUUGAAUAGGCGUACAGGGUACGUAGCUUGUUUUAGGAUAUAAUAAUAUAUCCUAAUUAAACUAGAGUAAUAUGGAGGUAAAAACAACACUUGGAGGAGGGCUAAUAUUCUUUGAUACCAAGGGGUGUAUUAAGGGCGAAAGCAAUUUACCAAGUAUAUACUGACUGUAAGGUACGAAAGCUAGAGAAUGGAACCGGAUUCGAUACCCGGAUACUUCUAGCCGUAAACGAUACAGACUAUGAGAUCGGUUUUUAAUCGGUUUUCGUUGCUAACGCUAAAGUCUGUCGCCUGCAUAGUAUAAUCGAAAGAUCGAAACGUCAAUGAUUAGACCGUUCUUAGGCACAUGGAGUGAAGUAUGCCGUUUAAUACGAUAGCCCGCGUAAAAUCUUACCACUUCUUGCAUCAGACUUAUAAUAUAAAGUCAAUUGACAGGUGUUGCAUGGCUGUCGUCAGUUAGUGUUUGUGAGACCUAUGGUUGAUUCCGUAUAACUAACGCAAUCCUUGAGAUAAAUAUAUU